rnacentral:lncRNA from 1 species
GUUAAGCCUGACCCCACUCCAAAAAUUUCUAAUGUUCCCACCAAUUAUCUGAUGCGGUCGUUGAAAGCACCAAAAAUAUCCUAUCCCUAAUAAAUAAUGAAAAAGAAUAGUAAAAGGGAAGUAGGGUCAAAUCCUUAGGGACUGGAUUUGCACAAUGUCUUGUUCCGUGAAAUCCUAGGUAGAAUCUUGCCCAAAAAAACCUACGUUCCUGGAAAAAGAAAAAGAAAA